rnacentral:rRNA from 1 species
AUUGAACGCUGGCGGCAGGCCUAACACAUGCAAGUCGAACGGUAACAGGAAACAGCUUGCUGUUUCGCUGACGAGUGGCGGACGGGUGAGUAAUGUCUGGGAAACUGCCUGAUGGAGGGGGAUAACUACUGGAAACGGUAGCUAAUACCGCAUAACGUCGCAAGACCAAAGAGGGGGACCUUCGGGCCUCUUGCCAUCGGAUGUGCCCAGAUGGGAUUAGCUAAUAGGUGGGGUAACGGCUCACCUAGGCGACGAUCCCUAGCUGGUCUGAGAGGAUGACCAGCCACACUGGAACUGAGACACGGUCCAGACUCCUACGGGAGGCAGCAGUGGGGAAUAUUGCACAAUGGGCGGAAGCCUGAUGCAGCCAUGCCGCGUGUAUGAAGAAGGCCUUCGGGUUGUAAAGUACUUUCAGCGGGGAGGAAGGGAGUAAAGUUAAUACCUUUGCUCAUUGACGUUACCCGCAGAAGAAGCACCGGCUAACUCCGUG